AUUGAACGCUGGCGGCAGGCCUAACACAUGCAAGUCGAGCGGAUGAAGGGAGCUUGCUCCUGGAUUCAGCGGCGGACGGGUGAGUAAUGCCUAGGAAUCUGCCUGGUAGUGGGGGAUAACGUCCGGAAACGGGCGCUAAUCCCGCAUACGUCCUGAGGGAGAAAGUGGGGGAUCUUCGGACCUCACGCUAUCAGAUGAGCCUAGGUCGGAUUAGCUAGUUGGUGGGGUAAAGGCCUACCAAGGCGACGAUCCGUAACUGGUCUGAGUGGAUGAUCAGUCACACUGGAACUGAGACACGGUCCAGACUCCUACGGGAGGCAGCAGUGGGGAAUAUUGGACAAUGGGCGAAAGCCUGAUCCAGCCAUGCCGCGUGUGUGAAGAAGGUCUUCGGAUUGUAAAGCACUUUAAGUUGGGAGGAAGGGCAGUAAGUUAAUACCUUGCUGUUUUGACGUUACCAACAGAAUAAGCACCGGCUAACUUCGUG
rnacentral:rRNA from 1 species